rnacentral:rRNA from 1 species
UACGUAGGGUGCAAGCGUUGUCCGGAAUUAUUGGGCGUAAAGAGCUCGUAGGCGGUUUGUCGCGUCUGCUGUGAAAUCCCGAGGCUCAACCUCGGGUCUGCAGUGGGUACGGGCAGACUAGAGUGCGGUAGGGGAGAUUGGAACUCCUGGUGUAGCGGUGGAAUGCGUAGAGAUCCGGAAGAACACCGGUGGCGAAGGCGGUCUGCUGGGCCAAGACUGACGCUGAGGCGCGACAGCGUGGGGAGCAAACAGG